rnacentral:rRNA from 1 species
AGAGUUUGAUCAUGGCUCAGGACGAACGCUGGCGGCGUGCUUAAUACAUGCAAGUCGAACGGGAGUUAAGGGUUUCGGCCUUUAACUUAGUGGCGAACGGGUGAGUAACGCGUGAAUAACCUGACUCAAAGAGGGGGGAUAACAACGGGAAACUGUUGCUAAUACCGCAUGAGACCACAACACCGCAUGAUGAAGGGGUCAAAGAUUUAUCGCUUUGAGAGGGGUUCGCGUUUCCA